GUCGAGAAUCUUUCACAAUGGGGGCAACCCUGAUGGAGCGACGCCGCGUGGAGGAUAAGGUCUUCGGAUUGUAAACUCCUGUCAUGCGUGAACAAGGUUGCUUGGUUAAUACCUGGGCAAAUUGAUGGUAACGCAAGAGGAAGAGACGGCUAACUCUGUGCCAGCAGCCGCGGUAAUACAGAGGUCUCAAGCGUUGUUCGGAAUCACUGGGCGUAAAGGGUGCGUAGGUGGCGUGGUAAGUCAGAUGUGAAAGCCCGGGGCUCAACCUCGGAACUGCAUCCGAUACUGCCAUGCUAGAGUACUGGAGAGGUGACUAGAAUUCUCAGUGUAGCAGUGAAAUGCGUAGAUAUCGAGAGGAAUACCAAAGGCGUAGGCAGGUCACUGGACAGUUACUGACACUGAGGCACGAAGGCCAGGGGAGCGAACGGGAUUAGAAACCCGUGUAGUCC
rnacentral:rRNA from 1 species